UUGUCUAUCAAACUAAAGGAAAUAGAAUGAAUGAACAGGACUGCCUGAAGUCUGAGUAAAGAUUCAGGCAAGUAAACAUAAGUUCUGUCUCAUACAGAAAUUGGAAUAACUACUUCAAAAAAAGGGUGAAGACAGAAAAAUUCACAUGCAAGUUCUGCCAGUUUGGGCUAGCAAGAUGGCUGUGCACCCCUGACAACCUGAGCUCCGUCGUGGAACCAGUCUGGACGCAUCUUUAAAUCCCAGCACUCCUAGGAUGAGGUGGAACUGGGAGAAUCACCAGGAUGCUCGUGGGCCAGCCAGUGUGAAAUACACAGAACAGAAGAAACGACAGAGAGCCUGACUGACAAGAUAUUCUUUAACAAGUAUUACUUUUAAAAGAGGAAACCACAACCAGGAGUGUUGGCACACACUCCUGGGAGAUCUCUGUGAGUUCAAGGCCAGCCUGGUCUAGGUAGCGAGUUCCAGGAUAUCCAGAGCUACAUGGGGUGCGCUCCAUUUGUAGAGAAGGACACAUCUGUAAAAUGUCAAAUGCAAACCUUGGUGUGCAAAACCAACCAGUAUGUACACAUCAGCUCCUCGGUGCCAAGUCUUUCCAUUGCCCAGAUCACCUGGGACUUACAUGUCAGCAAGUAGGAGAAAUCAUAGGCUGAUACAGGAGAAGAGGGCCUUUUCUGUCAGACCCCAUUACAUGUUUUUUCAGGAAAGUAAAAUUCCAAGAACUUCACUGUUUCCAGACCACAUAUCUAGAUCUAGAAUUCUGUCCCUUCCCCAAGAUACCCUUUCCUCUUGAACAGCCCUAAGUGGGGAUGAAGCAGGAGUCCCUAUUUCCUACCUUUCUGGAAGGUGAAAUGUAUUCCUUGGCAUCUAAUUUCAAAUCCUGCAGCCUUCUAGUUUCCUUCUUUUGGAGGAGGCCUGGCCAGGUUAAGUCUGUGCCACGCCAGGACUUGGUUCUAGUCUCUUCCCCAAGCUGUGCUAGGCCAACUAUUCAUUUGCUCAAUAAUUAAUUAUGUGUCUGCAGCCAAAUUCUUUCCCCUGUGCACAUCACAUUAGGAAGAUGGCAGGUUUGUCUGAGGCCUCCAUCAACGAAAUACUGGAAAAAAAGAAAAAAAAAAAAAAAAAAGGAAGGAACCAAGAUCCAAGAAGACACAAAGAAAGGCACCCAAGGGACCAAAUGGCAGGCAGCAUUGUGACAUGGGUCCGGUCAUUUCUAAGGUCUGCUGCCUUGGAGCACCUCUUAAAUAAAACUUACAUUAGUCUGACCUUGCUUUGAAAUAAUCAUUUACAACCAGUUGGUCCUAACUAAUACAGAGCCUCUCUGCUCAGUGCCUACUGGACAGUCACCAAACUGAAUGUCCCCUCUAGAGAUGACACUGCACUUUGACAGGCCUCUACUGGUGCCUGGAACAGACACCGAAGCUAUGAAAUCAGAGAGAAGUCUGCUAGAGGAACAGAUAAAACCAUCAGCAUAAGCUAGCCUGCAGCUUCAGAAAGAAAAGAAGAGGUUCUCUCCCACCCAGGUCUAAGAAGAGCACCAGGAAACAAGAUCUACCCUCCCCCACUCUAAAAUCUGGACACCAGCAGGUAUCAAGGCUAUUGCUCAAGGAUGGAAGUAUAGUGUUCAAAGGUCAAAGCCCUGGGCAGAGAUUUUACCCCUUUCCCUGGACUGAUAAGACUGAUGUUCCUGGAAAUAGUGUGCUCUGUCCUCCUCACUACAGAAUUAGGCCGUAU